rnacentral:rRNA from 1 species
UACAGAGGGUGCGAGCGUUAAUCGGAAUUACUGGGCGUAAAGCGCACGUAGGUGGCGACGUAAGUCGGGUGUGAAAGCCCCGGGCUCAACCUGGGAAUUGCAUUCGAGACUGCAUUGCUGGAGUACGGAAGAGGAGGGCGGAAUUCCCGGUGUAGCGGUGAAAUGCGUAGAUAUCGGGAGGAACAUCAGUGGCGAAGGCGGCCUGCUGGGCGGCGACUGACGCUGAGGCGCGACAGCGUGGGGAGCAAACAGG